GAUGAAGAACGUAGCGAAAUGCGAUACGUAAUGUGAAUUGCAGAAUUCAGUGAAUCAUCGAGUCUUUGAACGCACAUUGCGCCCCCUGGUAUUCCGGGGGGCAUGCCUGUCCGAGCGUCAUUGCUGCCCUCAAGCACGGCUUGUGUGUUGGGCCUCCGUCCUCCUCCCGGGGGACGGGCCCGAAAGGCAGCGGCGGCACCGCGUCCGGUCCUCGAGCGUAUGGAGCUUCGUCACCCGCUCUUGUAGGCCCGGCCGGCGCUUGCCGACACAUCAAUCUUUUUUCCAGGUUGACCUCGGAUCAGGUAGGGAUACCCGCUGAACUUAAGCAUAUCAAUAAGCGGAGGA
rnacentral:misc_RNA from 1 species